GAUGAACGCUGGCGGCGUGCCUAAUACAUGCAAGUCGAGCGAACAGACGAGGAGCUUGCUCCUCUGACGUUAGCGGCGGACGGGUGAGUAACACGUGGAUAACCUACCUAUAAGACUGGGAUAACUUCGGGAAACCGGAGCUAAUACCGGAUAAUAUCUUUAACCGCAUGGUUCAAGAGUGAAAGACGGGUUUGCUGUCACUUAUAGAUGGAUCCGCGCCGAAUUGGCUAGUUGGUAAGGUAACGGCUUACCAAGGCGACGAUGCGUAGCCGACCUGAGGGGGUGAUCGGCCACACUGGAACUGAGAAACGGUCCAGACUCCUACGGGAGGCAGCAGUAGGGAAUCUUCCGCAAUGGGCGAAAGCCUGACGGAGCAACGCCGCGUGAGUGAUGAAGGUCUUCGGUUCGUAAAACUCUGUUAUUGGGGAAGAACAAAUGUGUAAGUGACUAUGCACGUCUUGACGGUACCUAAUCAGAAAGCCACGGCUAACUACGUG
rnacentral:rRNA from 1 species